rfam:Ciona savignyi cont_5934, whole genome shotgun sequence.
GGCAGGAUGGCCGAGUGGUCUAAGGCGCUGCGUUCAGGUCGCAGUCUCCUCUGGUGGCGCGGGUUCGAAUCCCGCUCCUGUCA